rnacentral:rRNA from 1 species
AUUGAACGCUGGCGGCAGGCUUAACACAUGCAAGUCGAGCGGUAGCACAGGGGAGCUUGCUCCCUGGGUGACGAGCGGCGGACGGGUGAGUAAUGUCUGGGAAACUGCCUGAUGGAGGGGGAUAACUACUGGAAACGGUAGCUAAUACCGCAUAACGUCGCAAGACCAAAGAGGGGGACCUUCGGGCCUCUUGCCAUCAGAUGUGCCCAGAUGGGAUUAGCUAGUAGGUGGGGUAAUGGCUCACCUAGGCGACGAUCCCUAGCUGGUCUGAGAGGAUGACCAGCCACACUGGAACUGAGACACGGUCCAGACUCCAACGGGAGGCAGCAGUGGGGAAUAUUGAACAAGGGGCGCAAGCCUGAUGAAGCCAGGCGGCUUGGGUGAAGAAGGCCUUCGGGUUGUAAGCACUUUCAGCGAGGAGGAAGGUGGUGAGCUUAAUACGUUCAUCAAUUGACGUUACUCGCAGAAGAAGCACCGGCUAACUCCGUG